CUUUACUGUAGCUUUGCAUUUGACUUUGAACCGGUCUGUGUAGGAUAGGUGGGAGACUGUGAAGCCGGAACGCUAGUUUCGGUGGAGUCAACCUUGAAAUACCACCCUGGUUUGUUUGAGGUUCUAACCUUGGUCCGUGAAUCCGGACCGGGGACCGUGCAUGGUAGGCAGUUUGACUGGGGCGGUCUCCCCCCAAAAGGUAACGGAGGAGUACGAAGGUACGCUUAGGGCGGUCGGACAUCGCCCACAAAGUGCAAUGGCAAAAGCGUGCUUGACUGCGAGACCCACAAGUAGAGCAGGUACGAAAGUAGGUCAUAGUGAUCCGGUGGUUCUGUAUGGAAGGGCCAUCGCUCAACGGAUAAAAGGUA
rnacentral:rRNA from 1 species